AGAGUUGAUAAGUAUGUAAUUAUACAAAUUUAAUUUGUAUUCAAAAAAAAGCAAUUCUAAUUAAUCCAUGACAAAAAUGCUGAAUCCCCACAUAUUGCAGUUAAAAAAACUGAAUUUUUGGCACGGUCUUCCAAACUCGUAUCUCCCCUGGGUUAUUUGCGGACUGCCUUUAAAGCGUCGUUAAGAAACCCUGUCUGAUCAUGACCAACUUAAAGAUACGUUUUUUCCAACUUUUUUAUUAAAUAUCUCAAAGAAUGAAUGUGAUACUUCUCAAUAGAUCUAAUUUCGAUU